AGCGAACGCUGGCGGCAGGCUUAACACAUGCAAGUCGAGCGGGCGUAGCAAUACGUCAGCGGCAGACGGGUGAGUAACGCGUGGGAACAUACCUCUUGGUUCGGAACAACACAGGGAAACUUGUGCUAAUACCGGAUAAGCCCUUACGGGGAAAGGAUUAUCGCCGAGAGAUUGCCCGCGUCUGAUUAGCUAGUUGGUGAGGUAACGGCUCACCAAGGCGACGAUCAGAGCUGGUCUGAGAGGAUGAUCAGCCACAUUGGG
rnacentral:rRNA from 1 species